GACGAACGCUGGCGGCGUGCUUAACACAUGCAAGUCGAGCGGUAAGGCCCUUUCGGGGGUACACGAGCGGCGAACGGGUGAGUAACACGUGGGUGACCUGCCUUUAGCUCUGGGAUAAGCCUGGGAAACCGGGUCUAAUACCGGAUAUGACUCCGCGGCGCAUGUUGUGGGGUGGAAAGCCUUGUGCGGCUGGAGAUGGGCCCGCGGCCUAUCAGCUUGUUGGUGGGGUGAUGGCCUACCAAGGCGACGACGGUAGCCGGCCUGAGAGGGCGACCGGCCACACUGGGACUGAGACACGGCCCAGACUCCUACGGGAGGCAGCAGUGGGAAUCUUGCGCAGUGGGCGAAAGCCUGACGCAGCGACGCCGCGUGAGGAUGACGGCCU
rnacentral:rRNA from 1 species